rnacentral:rRNA from 1 species
GAUGAACGCUGGCGGCGUGCCUAAUACAUGCAAGUCGAGCGAACAGACGAGGAGCUUGCUCCUCUGACGUUAGCGGCGGACGGGUGAGUAACACGUGGAUAACCUACCUAUAAGACUGGGAUAACUUCGGGAAACCGGAGCUAAUACCGGAUAAUAUAUUGAACCGCAUGGUUCAAUAGUGAAAGACGGUUUUGCUGUCACUUAUAGAUGGAUCCGCGCCGCAUUAGCUAGUUGGUAAGGUAACGGCUUACCAAGGCAACGAUGCGUAGCCGACCUGAGAGGGUGAUCGGCCACACUGGAACUGAGACACGGUCCAGACUCCUGCGGGAGGCAGCAGUAGGGAAUCUUCCGCAAUGGGCGAGAGCCUGACGGAGCGACGCCGCGUGAGUGAUGAAGGUGUUCGGAUCGUAAAACUCUGUUAUUAGGGGAAAACAAAUGUGUAAGUAACUAUGCACGUAUUGACGGUACCUGGUCAGGAAGCCACGGCUAACUACGUG